rnacentral:rRNA from 1 species
CAUUCAAAUUUCUGCCCUAUCAACUUUCAAUGGUGGGAUAUGGGCCUACCAUGGUGGCAACGGGUAACGGGGAAUUAGGGUUCGAUUCCGGAAAGGGACCCUGANAAACGGCUACCACUUCCAAGGAAGGCAGCAGGCCCCCAAAUUACCCAUUCCCAACCCGGGGAGGUAGUGACAAUAAAUACUGAUACGGGGCUCUUUUGGGUCUCGUAUUUGGAAUGANUACAAUCNANUUCCCUUAACAAGAANNAAUUGAAGGGCAAGUCUGGUGCCACCACCCNCGGUAAUUCCACCUCCANUACCNUAUAUUAAAGUUGUUGCGNUUAAAAACCUCNNANUUAAACCUUGGNNCUGGCUGGCCGGUCCCCCUCACCGCNAGUACUG